rnacentral:lncRNA from 1 species
GAGACGAGAGAGAAACAAAUUGGAUAAGUGAGGAAGGUGGCAAGGGUUUCUGAUUUUUUUUUUUUCAAUUCGGGCAAUAAAGAUGAUAGAUAAAAUGUUGGAGUGAGAAAGAUGAAAGAGAAAUGGUUGAGAGGAAUGAGGAAGGUGAGUAAGGGUUUAGGGGUUUCUUUUUUCUUUUUUUAGUUUUGAGAAUGAAAAUUAUUUAAAUAUCCUUGACCUUAAAACUUAGAAUCCAUGAUAAAUGAGGGUAUUUUUGUCUACUAUAAUCCGGUACACAUUGUUAAAACGUACCAACUGAAAAACAGGCGUAC